UACGUAGGUGGCAAGCGUUAUCCGGAAUUACUGGGCGUAAAGCGCACGCAGGCGGUCUUUUAAGUUUGACGUGAAAGCUCCCGGCUUAACUGGGAGAGGUCGUUGAAGACUGGAAGACUUGAGGCAAUGAGAGGGGUGUAGAAUUCCCGGUGUAGUGGUGGAAUGCGUAGAUAUCGAGAGGAACACCUGCGGCGAAGGCGGGUUGCUGGGCUGAUACUGACGCUGAGGCGCGAAAGCCAGGGGAGCGAACGGG
rnacentral:rRNA from 1 species